UAAGUGAUGGCGACCGGCGCACGGGUGAGUAACACGUAUCCAACCUGCCCUUUACUCGGGGAUAGCCUUUCGAAAGAAAGAUUAAUACCCGAUAGCAUAAUGAUUCCGCAUGGUUUCAUUAUUAAAGGAUUCCGGUAAAGGAUGGGGAUGCGUUCCAUUAGGUUGUUGGUGAGGUAACGGCUCACCAAGCCUUCGAUGGAUAGGGGUUCUGAGAGGAAGGUCCCCCACAUUGGAACUGAGACACGGUCCAA
rnacentral:rRNA from 1 species